GUGCCUAACACAUGCAAGUCGAGCGAGGAGAUUCCUUCGGGAUGAUCCUAGCGGCGGACGGGUGAGUAACACGUGGGCAACCUGCCUCAUAGAGAGGAAUAGCCUUCCGAAAGGGAGAUUAAUACCUCAUAACAUUGCAGUUUCGCAUGGAACAGCAAUUAAAGGAGUAAUCCGCUAUGAGAUGGGCCCGCGGCGCAUUAGCUAGUUGGUGAGGUAAUGGCUCACCAAGGCGACGAUGCGUAGCCGACCUGAGAGGGUGAUCGGCCACAUUGGGACUGAGACACGGCCCAGACUCCUACGGGAGGCAGCAGUGGGGAAUAUUGCACAAUGGGGGAAACCCUGAUGCAAGCAACGCCGCGUGAGUGAUGACGGCCUUCGGGUUGUAAAGCUCUGUCUUCAGGGACGAUAAUGACGGUACCUGAGGAGGAAGCCACGGCUAACUACGUGCCAGCAGCGGC
rnacentral:rRNA from 1 species